CUUUUGUGUUUUGAUGCUUUAAGUUUUUAUUGUUGUUUUGCUUUGUUUUUAAUGCUUUACUGUGCUAAUUCCAUGAUGUAUAAAUCAUUUUAGGUCAUUUCUAAGAGAAGAAGUGUUAGUAGAUCAAGAAAGGGCUAUAGAACUAAGGAAGAAGGAUAGGAAGAACGGGAGGAGAAGUGAAGGAAAGGACAGAGAAACUUGGAGAACAAUGAACAGCAGAAGACAUCCUGGAGACCAAGAUGACAAAUGGUGUUAAGAAAAGAGCAGCUGUCUACCAGGAAAGCACUGUCUUAGAACCUGGCUCACCUGAUUUUGCCGAUGAGUCAACUUCGAA
rnacentral:lncRNA from 1 species